GCCGUGUCCGCAUAUCCAACUAUCAUGCCCUAUCUAACGCUGCCUGCAUUAGUCCUAUAUUUAGUCGGCGCAUCAAGGUGGCAUAUUCUGUCUGGGAGGUGUAUCCGUCUUCGUUCGUCCUGAGUCCCAACGAACGAGGCAGGCUCGACGGGAAUUAAGACUAUAUCCGCACCCCAUAAGUUGCCAAGCUAUCAGCUACUAACAAUUAUAUGAUGGGCUCAACCUAUCCUCGCUCUGUCGUAUAUUGCUGGACAGUCAGAAAUGCCCAUGUCGGAUAUAGAGCCAGCAGGCGGUUAUGCGAUCGAUAUCUUUAAUCUCUCUUUCGUGUGUAUAAAGGUCAUAGGAACUCCAAAGAAGAAUGAACAAGUCACCUCGAAAAAUUCACGUCAUGAGAAGCUAGCGCCAUUACCCAUUACCAGCAAGGCUUUAGUUCUUUCUGUGCGAUUCGCGGAUCACACAUGCGGUCAAUUAGCUUGCCAUUUUCGCCACACGAUCGACCAAAACUUUUGUCGGUUGAAGCAACUGCAUUAUAAGUGCGGCAACGAAAACAAAACAAAGGCAACGGCGAAAAAAAGGUCUACCUGCUGAUAACCUCUUUUUUGCUUCCCAAGAUUGGAAAAGGGCUUCUGGCAAAGUAGUCCCGUGCAUUAGGAACUCCCCCAUAUGUUGGGUUAUCGCGCCUUCCAUCGCUUUGCUUUUCAGCGCUCUACUGUUUUAUAAGAGUUUCACAAAAGACUGAUUCAAUCCCGCCAUCAACAUAUGAAAAUGAACGACUGAAUCAUUAAGUCGAAUUUGGAUCAAACAUCAUCAACCGGUAUUUACCAACACCUAUCUUACUUGUAUUUAAUGGACUUUCUUUUGGACUUUCAAGUUAUGGGUUUCGGGCUUUGAACACUCUUUCGUUCUCGCCGUAUCUCAAACACGCUAUCCGUCAACAUCUGUCAACAUUUUCAUCUUGGGUUCCGUGAAUUACUGGGGUUUUUAUGGUUUAUAUUUCAAGCUUGGGCAUAUCUCAAUCCUGGGGGUUCCUGGGUAUCAGGAUUCGUGUUCUGGGUGACCGACAAAAACGGGGUGUUCCAUAUCCAGUGAGCUUUCCCUGUUUUUCCUUCUCUUUCCAUGUUUCUUUCUUCUUUUUCAACGUUUUUAUCGUCUAUAUCUAUACGUUAAUUUCCCCAAUCUUUCAUUUUACACCACAUACCUCAAGAAACAAGCGUGGAAAGGGUCAAGUGGAUGCGAGGAAAAAAUAAUUCGUUUAGUAAUAGACCAAGACAUAUAUAGCCUUCUACUGUCGUACCAGUCGUAAUAACCCUAGUCGGGGAAAUUAG
rnacentral:sRNA from 1 species